UGUGAAGAAGUAGAUAAGAACAAGCUGCGUACUGUGUCAGGUCUGAAAAGAAGCAGCACCCGUGGUAUAAUUCUGUAUCUACUUCUUCCGCUUU
rnacentral:SRP_RNA from 1 species